AUUGAACGCUGGCGGCAUGCCUUACACAUGCAAGUCGAACGGCAGCACGGGUGCUUGCACCUGGUGGCGAGUGGCGAACGGGUGAGUGAUACAUCGGAACGUACCUUAUCGUGGGGGAUAACGCAGCGAAAGCUGUGCUAAUACCGCAUACGCCCUGAGGGGGAAAGCGGGGGAUCGCAAGACCUCGCGCGAUUAGAGCGGCCGAUGCCUGAUUAGCUAGUUGGUGGGGUAAAAGCCCACCAAGGCGACGAUCAGUAGCUGGUCUGAGAGGACGAUCAGCCACACUGGGACUGAGACACGGCCCAGACUCCUACGGGAGGCAGCAGUGGGGAAUUUUGGACAAUGGGGGCAACCCUGAUCCAGCAAUGCCGCGUGAGUGAAGAAGGCCUUCGGGUUGUAAGGCUCUUUUGUCAGGGAAGAAACACCGGCUCUAACACAGUCCGGGAAUGACGGUACCUGAAGAAUAAGCACCGGCUAACUACGUGCCAGCAGCCGCAGUAA
rnacentral:rRNA from 1 species